GGCGGCAUGCCUAACACAUGCAAGUCGAACGAGACCUUCGGGUCUAGUGGCGCACGGGUGCGUAACGCGUGGGAAUCUGCCCUCUGGUACGGAACAACUCAGGGAAACUUGAGCUAAUACCGUAUAAUGACUUCGGUCCAAAGAUUUAUCGCCUGAGGAUGAGCCCGCGUAGGAUUAGCUUGUUGGUGAGGUAAAAGCUCACCAAGGCGACGAUCCUUAGCUGGUCUGAGAGGAUGAUCAGCCACACUGGGACUGAGACACGGCCCAGACUCCUACGGGAGGCAGCAGUGGGGAAUAUUGGACAAUGGGCGAAAGCCUGAUCCAGCAAUGCCGCGUGAGUGAUGAAGGCCUUAGGGUUGUAAAGCUCUUUUACCCGGGAUGAUAAUGACAGUACCGGGAGAAUAAGCCCCGGCUAACUCCGUGCCAGCAGCCGCGGUAAUACGGAGGGGGCUAGCGUUGUUCGGAAUUACUGGGCGUAAAGCGCACGUAGGUGGCUUUGUAAGUUAGAGGUGAAAGCCCGGGGCUCAACCCCGGAAUUGCCCUUAAGACUGCAUCGCUAGAAUUGUGGA
rnacentral:rRNA from 1 species